CACACCCCCAGAGCCUGAUGCUCAAGUUGCUCAUUAUUCCUGUAUGGGUUUCAGAAAAGUGACUAUGCAACUCUCUCAUCUGGGAAGCAGUGCUAAUCCAGAUGAAAAUUAGAAGAUUCUUGCUUACAAGGAAUUCAAAAUUGUGCAGUGGUGCUGAUGUGGAUUCCUGAGGCUCUGGGACAGGACAACCAAUCACACAGGAGUCUGGCAUUCAUAUAUAUGGACAACAUUGAAAAAUCCCUGAUAAAAUGAGUUUUGUUAUGGCCUGAAGAUGCAGCUUAUCACAGGUAAGUAGAAUAUUGCAUUGAUCUCUGCUGUAGAUAAGGAGACUACCAAGGAGCAGCUGCCUUGCC
rnacentral:lncRNA from 1 species